rnacentral:rRNA from 1 species
UACGUAGGGUGCAAGCGUUAAUCGGAAUACUGGGCGUAAAGCGUGCGCAGGCGGUUUGUAAGUUUGUCGUGAAAUCCCCGGGCUCAACCUGGGAAUGGCGAUGAAGACUGCAAGGCUAGAAUCUGGCAGAGGGGGUAGAAUUCCACGUGUAGCAGUGAAAUGCGUAGAGAUGUGGAGGAACACCGAUGGCGAAGGCAGCCCCUGGGUUAACACUGACGCUCAGGCACGAAAGGCGUGGGAGCAA